rnacentral:tRNA from 1 species
GGGCAUAUAGCUCAGCGGUUAGAGCACUGAUCUUAUAAGUCAGGGGUCGAUGGUUCGAAUCCAUCUAUGCCCACCA